UACGUAGGGCGCAAGCGUUUGUCCGGAAUUAUUGGGCGUAAAGGGUGCGUAGGCGGCGCGGUAAGUCGGGUGUGAAAUCUCGGGGCUUAACUCCGAAACUGCAUUCGAUACUGCCGUGCUUGAGGACUGGAGAGGAGACUGGAAUUUACGGUGUAGCGGUGAAAUGCGUAGAUAUCGUAAGGAAGACCAGUGGCGAAGGCGGGUCUCUGGACAGUUCCUGACGCUGAGGCACGAAGGCCAGGGGAGCAAACGGG
rnacentral:rRNA from 1 species